rnacentral:rRNA from 1 species
UUCAGCAGGGACGAAAUUGACGGUACCUGCAGAAGAAGCCCCGGCCAACUACGUGCCAGCAGCCGCGGUAAUACGUAGGGGGCGAGCGUUGUCCGGAUUCAUUGGGCGUAAAGCGCUUUAAGGCGGUUCGCUAAGUCGCGUGUGAAACCUCCAGGCUCAACCUGGAGACGCCACGCGAUACUGGCGUGACUAGAGUUCGGUAGGGGAUCACGGAAUUCCUGGUGUAGCGGUGAAAUGCGCAGAUAUCAGGAGGAACACCGGUGGCGAAGGCGGUGAUCUGGGCCGACACCGACGCUGUAGAGCGAAAGCGUGGGGAGCGAACAGGAUUAGAUACCCUGGUAGUCCACGCCGUAAACGUUGGGCACUAGGUGUGGGGGAUUAUCAACGUCUUCCGUGCCGUAGCUAACGCAUUAAGUGCCCCGCCUGGGGAGUACGGCCGCAAGGCUAAAACUCAAAGGAAUUGACGGGGGCCCGCACAAGCGGCGGAGCAUGUUGCUUAAUUCGAUGCAACGCGAAGAACCUUACCUGGGCUUGACAUGUGGGGAAAAGCCGUAGAGAUACGGUGUCCUUCGGGGUCCCACACAGGUGGUGCAUGGCU